rnacentral:rRNA from 1 species
UACGGAGGAUCCGAGCGUUAUCCGGAAUCACUGGGUGUAAAGGGAGCGUAGACGGCUGAGCAAGCCUGAAGUGAAAGGCGGGGGCCCAACCCCCGGACUGCUCUGGAAACUAUGUGACUGGAGUGCAGGAGAGGUGAGCGGAAUUCCUAGUGUAGCGGUGAAAUGCGUAGAUAUUAGGAGGAACACCAGUGGCGAAGGCGGCUCACUGGACUGUAACUGACGUUGAGGCUCGAAAGCGUGGGGAGCAAACAGG